GUCUUUACGCAGAGACAGUAACAUAGCUAAUGAGGAUCAAACCGAGGCGUGUUUAUUGCUAAUUGAAAACUAUUCCCAAUACCCCGCCAAGANAAUGCACGCAGACUUUUCGAACAGAGGUUAUAUAUUUUGUUGCUAACUACUAAAAUACUAUUCAGG
rnacentral:snRNA from 1 species